UACGUAGGGUGCGAGCGUUGUCCGGAAUUACUGGGCGUAAAGCGCACGUAGGCGGCUCUUUAAGUCGGGGGUGAAAUCCUGGAGCUCAACUCCAGAACUGCCUUCGAUACUGGAGAGCUCGAGUCCGGGAGAGGUGAGUGGAACUGCGAGUGUAGAGGUGAAAUUCGUAGAUAUUCGCAAGAACACCAGUGGCGAAGGCGGCUCACUGGCCCGGUACUGACGCUGAGGUGCGAAAGCGUGGGGAGCAAACAGG
rnacentral:rRNA from 1 species